rnacentral:rRNA from 1 species
GAUGAACGCUGGCGGCAUGCUUAACACAUGCAAGCCGGACGGGAAGUGGUGUUUCCAGUGGCGGCCGGGUGAGUAACGCGUAAGAACCUGCCCUUGGGAGGGGAACAACAGCUGGAAACGGCUGCUAAUACCCCGUAGGCUGAGGAGCAAAAGGAGGAAUCCGCCCGAGGAGGGGCUUGCGUCUGAUUAGCUAGUUGGUGAGGCAAUAGCUUACCAAGGCGAUGAUCAGUAGCUGGUACGAGAGGAUGAUCAGCCACACUGGGAGUGAGACACGGCCCAGACUCAUACGGGAGGCAGACGUGAGGAAUGUUCCGCAAUGGGCGAAAGACUGACGGAGCAAGGCGGCGUGGAGGUAGAAGGCCAACGGGUCGUGAACUGCUUUUCCCGGAGAAGAAGCAAUGACGGUAUCUGGGGAAUAAGCAACGGCUAGCUCUGUG